GCCCCACUGUAACCUUUCUCAUGUUCUAUGACAGGUCUUCAGAUUGUUGCCCCACUGUAACCUUUCUCAUGUUCUAUGACAGGUCUUCAGAUUGCUGCCCCACUGUAACCUUUCUCAUGUUCUAUGACAGGUCUGCUGAUUGUUGCCCCACUGUAACCUUUCUCAUGUUCUAUGACAGGUCUGCUGAUUGCUGCCCCACUGUAAACUUUAUCAUGUUCUAUGACAGG